ACAUGAUGAUGAUGAUGAUGGUGAUGAUGAUGGUGAUGAUGAUGAUGGUGAUGAUGAUGAUCAUCAUCACCAUCAUCAUCAUCAUCAUCAUCAUCA
rnacentral:pre_miRNA from 1 species